CGAUUUGGCGGACGGGCGAGUAAUGUAUCGGAACGUGCCCAGUAGCGGGGGAUAACAGGCCGAAAGGUCAGCUAAUACCGCAUACGCCGUUCGGGGGAAAGGGGGGGAUUGUUCGGAACCUAUCACUAUUGGAGCGGCAGAUAUCGGAUCAGCUAGUUGGUGAGGUAAUGGCUCACCAAGGCGACGAUCAGUAGUUGGUUUGAGAGGACGACCACCCACCCCGGGAGUGAGACACGGCCCAGCCUCCUACGGGAGGCAGCAGCGGGGAAUUUUGGACAAUGGGGGAAACCCUGAUCCACCCAUCCCGCGUGUGCGAUGAAGGCCUCCGGGUUGUAAAGUUCUGUCCUAUGGGACGAAGAAAGUGACGGUACCAUAGGAGGAAGCCCCGGCUAACUACGUGCCAGCAGCCGCGGUAAUAAU
rnacentral:rRNA from 1 species